rnacentral:lncRNA from 1 species
AAAAGAGUAAAUAAAGUUAUUUGAUUAAGCUUGAGAAUGGAAUAUAGCAUAAAUUUUGCCAAGAAUUUUCGUGUCUUACAAUGGCUGUUAAGCUUGCUAUUUAUAGCAAUACCUAGGGAAACAAGAUUGAAGAUCCUAGAAUCAAGCCACACUUAAAUGAUAAUAAAGGAGCCAUUGAUAAGCAUGUAACGACAGACCAUGGAUGCAAAUAUUCUCUGCAACGACUACACAUUUAAUGCCAGAGAAUAUUCUUCAUUGAAUGCUAUUUGAUGGCAAAUACGUCGAUCAUGCUCUCUUCGGGGUCUAUCCGAUAUCAAUUGCAGUUGUUGUUCCCGAUACUAGUUGUUACUUGAUUCGCUUUUUAUCUGUCUUCGAUUCUACGUGUCACCUAUCAUUCAAUCAUUCAUUAUAAACCAAUUUCCCCUUAUACAGUAGGGUUGAAUGCAAACUGAAGGUUUGACAUUUAGUUAUAUAGUGACAGAAUAAUGAGAGAUUUAUAAGUAGGUGUAUUACUUUUGAAAAGUCAUGCACAAUAAUGGUUCAUUAAUAGCCCAUAUGAGGGGAAGAAGCUUCAUACUAGCUGCAUAUGGAUGUUGCUUGCUCCGUGUAUGAGAAAAACUCUAGGACUUUUUGGCCAAGCCAAUUAAUGUAUAAACUCGUCUGGUGACUAAUUUGACUCUUGAUAGCAACAUAUACUGUAUCUUUCACAUUCUAAGUUUAUUUGCAAUAUCUGCGUUUUCGGUUUAAUCUCUUGAUAUAUCUCUCCUAUCUACCUUUAAUUUUAAGCCAUGUUUUUUCCCUUCUUUUUAGGUUUGUGAUAGAGCACCUCUACCACUAACAAUAGAUCGGAGAUUCUGGGUCGCGUGAAGGAUAUAAAUAGAAACAUUAUUGAUUUUUGAAAAGAAUGGAAGUAAUUAUGAAUGCGCUUAUGCUAUGUCUUGUCGAGUUGUAGUCAAUAAAACGUGUACGUAAGAAGCAAAAUUUUAUUUUGUGUUACACAUAACCAACAAGGUCAUUUACGCAAAUAGGAUCAUUAAUUUACGUCGCUAUUUAGCCUUUGAUAAUAUAUAUAUUAAUUGGAAACUUAGUACUAAUAUCCUAUAACAAAUUAAAUUACAAUAUGAUAAUGUAUAUGUUAUUUAUAUAGGGUACUUUUAAGGGGUCUGGAUUUGCUCCACUAUCCUAUCCUCCGGUAAUUAUAAAUAGGCCUUUAGAUUAAAGCCAUCUGUCCACCACAAAAUUCAAAAGCUGAGAUUCUAAUAUUCCUCUUUCUCCAUUUCAUCGGACCCAACAACUUCCAACCGGCCAUGACCUCAUGAGUCAUUGACCUCUCCCAACUCCAUAAGAUUGAAGAUGAUAAAUUUCGAUUAAGUCCAAAACAACACAAACAAUGACUAGAUUGACCAAGGCACUCCCCCAUUAUCACUCAAAAAUAAAAGAAAGAGCUAUGGGUCAUCACUCAUGGAAAGAGUAUAAAAAUAAAAGGAAAGAGCGUUGUAAAUCAUCCAUGGUGUUUGGCAAAAGAAAGAGCUAUGGGUCAUCACUCAUGGACCUCUAUGUAUACCCAAAUCAGUGAGUACAUCAUUUAUCAAAAUUAAUGUGUAAAUGGAUGUCACACCUUAUUUUGCCGAAGAUAGAGAGUUUUUUCAAUUAAAGUGACAUUACUCGAAAUUAGAUUAUUUAUUUAAUCUUGGAAUAAUUGUUAUGGUGUCUCAAGUCACCAAUUUAUUUUAAAAUCUCAAAUCAAGGAAAUUGACUCUAUUUAUGGUCCGCGAACAUAGAAGACUGAGUAAGAAAAUCUAAAUUAACCCGGGAGAAAGUAUGAGGCACUUCCAAGUUCUGUGAUUUUAGCUUGAUCUCUUAACAAAUUACAAUCAGCUUAAAUGUCUAAUUAUUACACGUUUUAAGCCUAUAUGCAUUUUUGCACCUCCACCGCUUUUAUUAUAUUUUAGGCACUUAUGAAAUUUAUUUAAACAAGUCACGAUGUCGUGCACCUGUUGUUUUGUACACAUUGCAGGUCACGCCACAUGAAACGCACCCGUAAUUUAGAACAUGUUUAUUAUUAUCGUUUGAAGUUGUAAGGUCAAGUCACAUGAACGUGCACUCGAAUUUAGGAUUAAAUGUAUGAUGACUAUGUCACGAGAACCAUACUCAUAGUCACAAUAAUUUCUUAUUAAUCACACCUAAAGCAAACUAGGGUAUUUAUGAGUUAAUUCAUUUUUCUAAGUUCGGGGCUAUUUGUGAAAGGUUAUGGGUUAUGGUUAAACAUGGCAGCCAUGAGUUAUAACUUUAAAUUACUAAGAUUAGUAAAAUAACCGGGCAAAAGGGCGAACUGUUUUCAUAGUUGAAUGCUAACUGUAUUUAUAUUAACUUAAGUUGAACUUGUAAGCCAGUGGCUUAUUUAGGAAAAGAGCGUACUUAUUUAAUGCUGAAAAUUACGCCUAAUUUGUAAAUGUGUUAAAACAAAAGGACGCUUCCCAAUCUUUUCUUGGCUCUCCCUAAUGGAGCCCAGUACCCCAACCCGUAACUCAAGCCAAAAAAUGGGCCAGGCCUAAAAUCAGGCCCAACAAUUACUGAAUGACCAAUUUACAAUGCAUAAUCAUUUCAUAUACUGCAGGAAUAAUAAAAUUAAUUACAACCCCUAACACAUGAAUGUUUCAAAUUAUAUCACAGUUCUAAAUUUAUGAUCCAAAUUUGUUUACACUGCUGAACACUUCUAUGUACUGAAACUCUAUAUUUCUAAAAUUAAAUUGUGUAACAACACUUAGGAACUAAGCAAUUGUCUUAUGACUCCUCAUGCUUUUGAUUUCAGCUUGAAUUCCACACUUAAACUCCAUCCUUAUGGGUUAAAGGUGUCAAUAGUGAACAGGAUUUAUUCCUCAUCCUCAUGAGUUUACUAACUAUAGUAGUCAACCAGUAUCAUGGACUGUUCAAACAUGAGAAUAUUUCAAUUAUUAACCUGUUAACGGAGACAAAUUACUAACAGUAACAACUAGCUAUUGACAAAUAAGCUCAGCUUCAAAUAUUCAGCUCAAAAUAAAACCAAACACUAAUAAAGAAGAAAGUGAUCAGAUCAAGUGAAUCAAUGCAAAGAACACACGAAAUCAAGCACAGUUAUGGAAUCAAACAUUCAGUUCUAUCAUUUCUAUAUUCAAAGGGGAAUUACAACUGGAAUUUCGACAUACCUAGCAGCAAAACAAAACACCUGAAUAGUGACCAAAUAUAGGUCUGGUUGAAGAAAAUUCAGCUACAAUUGGCAACAACAAACAGCAAUAGAUGGCCAAAUAAAGGCUGAGGAGAGUAGCGAAGGAAUUCAGCUAUAACGCGACAUCCGAGCAACUUCAAUUAACAAAUGAAACCCCAGCUUGAUCAACCCAGAAAAUAAGAGAUGAAACUCUCUGAAUCAACUAAAGAGAGCCAACUUUUGAAUUGUUUAGAACAACCUAAAACUCUGCAAUCCCUUUUUUUUGAUGUUUUUUUAGAUCUAGCUUUGAAUUUCAGAGUGUUUUCUGCCUAUGAGAAAGAGCAAAGAUGGCAAGAAAAAGUGAGAGACGUGUGAAUUCUCUGGAAAAUAUGCAGAAUCAAAAAGUGUCCUCAAAUAUGUAGGGUGGAGUUUUUUUUAUAUCAAAAUGAGAGAAUCAAUUGAAACAUGUGUCAUCCCUAAAAAAUAGGGAAAAGGCAUCUUUCUACAACAGAUUUGAACAGCUGCCCUUUUCAGAUAUUCUUUCCUUAAUUUUCAACCCUUUUUACUUCUGUAUUUACCCCUUUUAGCCCCCAAUUUGACCUAAUUUCCUUUGUCUUAUUGUAUUUUAGUCCCUACAUACUCUCUUCUAGAAGAUUCAAGCUAUUAAUCAGAAAAGAUUACUUAAUUUUUCUAUUAACUCCCUCAAAUCCAUGUUAACACCCUUCUUUUAACCUUUUCUUUUAACUCACUCAUUUUACUAUCCUCUACCAAAAAUUACUGUCCUCUUUCUCUUAUCAGAACCAAACGUUUAAUACAUAGCAACGAACUAAACUGAAUUAUCAGUAAGCUAACAAACUUAAGCUAAACAUGACUCAACAACUGAUUAAACAAGUUGAUUAAGUAGAUAUGCAAUUCAAAACAACAAAUAAUUAUCAAUUGACCAAGUUCAGGUUCAAUUCAACAAAUAAUCACUCAGAAAGUUAAAACAAUUUACUAACAAUUAACUAUUAACCUAAGCAUGUCAAAAAAUUAAGACUUAACUAUCGAUUAACAAUUAAAUAGCGGAUCAUCAAUUCUGUGAUUUAUCUAGGUGCGAUCUAAGAAUAAAAAGAAAAAGAAAAAGAAAUAUACCUAUUGGGCUAUCACUUUCAGCAAGAGGUAUAGAGAGAAACUGGACGGGCCCUAAUUGAAAUAACAAAAGCGACUUCGACAAGAACCGUCCGAUUGAUUAGAUUUUGAACGAGCCUUGGUGACUUCGAAAUGAGCUGAAAUUAACAUAAAUUGAUUUCUCUGGUCAAGAGCAAUCGAUUCAUGUGAGUUUGAGCCAAAACGAAUCAGCAAUUGUUGACGAAAUCAGAAAGAGGACGAACUUACGGUUCUCUGGAAUCUCAGAUCUAAAAAUCGUUGAGUUUGAUGAGUUUUUCGGGGAAAAUAAUGAUGGAUUAGGGAUGAAGAUGGAUUAGGGAUGAAGAGGGAUUAGGGAUUGUUUGGCGUUAAUUUGGGGAGCUUUGGUGGUGAUUCGCGGCCGCGGGCGAUUUCCGGCAGCGGUCUAAGGCUAAGGGUGAUAGAGUGAAAGAGAUGAGGAAGUCUCUAGGGUUUUGGGUCUUGUUUCGGACAGUUAAAAUAGAGAAGUUUUAUUGUGUGUUUCCCAUGUG